rnacentral:rRNA from 1 species
GAGGAAUAUUGGACAAUGGGCGCAAGCCUGAUCCAGCCAUGCCGCGUGCAGGAAGACGGCCCUAUGGGUUGUAAACUGCUUUUGUACGGGAAGAAACACCACUACGCGUAGUGGCUUGACGGUACCGUAAGAAUAAGGAUCGGCUAACUCCGUGCCAGCAGCCGCGGUAAUACGGAGGAUCCAAGCGUUAUCCGGAAUCAUUGGGUUUAAAGGGUCCGUAGGUGGACGAUUAAGUCAGGGGUGAAAUCUUGCAGCUCAACUGUAAAAUUGCCCUUGAUACUGGUUGUCUCGAAUCAUUGUGAAGUGGUUAGAAUAUGUAGUGUAGCGGUGAAAUGCAUAGAUAUUACAUAGAAUACCGAUUGCGAAGGCAGAUCACUAACGGUGCAUUGACACUGAUGGACGAAAGCGUGGGGAGCGAAC